CGUCGGAAUCCGGGAGGACCAUCUCCCAAGGCUAAAUACUCCCUAGUGACCGAUAGUGAACCAGUACCGUGAGGGAAAGGUGAAAAGCACCCCGGAAGGGGAGUGAAAUAGUUCCUGAAACCGUGUGCCUACAAUUAGUCAAAGCCCAUUUAUGGGUGAUGGCGUGCCUUUUGUAGAAUGAACCGGCGAGUUACGCUAGCAUGCGAGGUUAAAUCGAAAAGAUGGAGCCGUAGCGAAAGCGAGUCUGAAAUGGGCGCUUAAGUAUGUUGGUGUAGACCCGAAACCAAGUGACCUACCCAUGUCCAGGUUGAAGGUGCGGUAAAACGCACUGGAGGACCGAACUCAUGUAUGUUGAAAAAUGCUGAGAUGAGGUGUGGGUAGCGGUGAAAUUCCAAACGAACUUGGAGAUAGCUGGUUCUCUCCGAAAUAGCUUUAGGGCUAGCCUCGGAUGUUUGAUCAUGGAGGUAGAGCACUGUUUGGGUAAGGGGUCCGUCUUGGAUUACUGAGCUCAGAUAAACUCCGAAUGCCAUUGAUCAUAUAGUCCGGGAGUCAGACAGUGAGUGAUAAGAUCCAUUGUCGAAAGGGGAACAGCCCAGAUCACCAGUUAAGGUCCCUAAAUUCAUGCUAAGUGGAAAAGGAUGUGGCGUUGCACAGACAACUAGGAUGUUGGCUCAGAAGCAGCCAUCAUUUAAAGAGUGCGUAAUAGCUCACUAGUCGAGUGACGCUGCGCCGAAAAUGUACCGGGGCUAAGCAUGAUACCGAAACUGUGGAUGGAUACCUUUGGUAUCCGUGGUAGGAGAGCGUUCUAAGGGCGUUGAAGUCAGAUCGUGAGGACUGAUGGAGCGCUUAGAAGUGAGAAUGCCGGCAUGAGUAGCGAAAGAUGAGUGAGAAUCUCAUCCACCGAAUGACUAAGGUUUCCUGGGGAAGGCUCGUCCUCCCAGGGUUAGUCGGGUCCUAAGUCGAGGCCAAGAGGCGUAGACGAUGGAUAACAGGUUGAUAUUCCUGUACUAAUUGGUUUUGUUUGAGCGAUGGAGGGACGCAGGAGGCUAAGAAAUGCACCCGGCUGGAAAUGGGUGUCCAAACAACAAGUCUUGAUAGGAGUCAAAUGCUUCUAUCUUUAAGGACAAGUUGCGAUGGGGAGCGAAAUUUUAGUAGCGAAGUUUCUGACGUCACACUGCCGAGAAAAGCUUCUAGUGAGAAACAAAUUACCCGUACCGCAAACCGACACAGGUAGUCGAGGAGAGAAUCCUAAGGUGAGCGAGUGAACUCUCGUUAAGGAACUCGGCAAAAUAGCCCCGUAACUUCGGAAUAAGGGGUGCUGACCGUAAGGUCAGCCGCAGUGAAUAGGCCCAAACAACUGUUUAUCAAAAACACAGGUCUCUGCUAAAUCGUAAGAUGACGUAUAGGGGCUGACACCUGCCCGGUGCUGGAAGGUUAAGAGGAUGAGUUAGCUUCGGCGAAGCCCAGAAUUGAAGCCCCAGUAAACGGCGGCCGUAACUAUAACGGUCCUAAGGUAGCGAAAUUCCU
rnacentral:rRNA from 1 species